rnacentral:rRNA from 1 species
AGCAGUCGCCGCGGUAAUACAGAGGGUGCAAGCGUUAAUCGGAAUUACUGGGCGUAAAGCGUGCGUAGGCGGCUAAUUGAGUCGGAUGUGAAAUCCCCGAGCUUAACUUGGGAAUUGCAUUCGAUACUGGUUAGCUAGAGUGUGGGAGAGGAUGGUAGAAUUCCAGGUGUAGCGGUGAAAUGCGUAGAGAUCUGGAGGAAUACCGAUGGCGAAGGCAGCCAUCUGGCCUAACACUGACGCUGAGGUACGAAAGCAUGGGGAGCAAACAGGAUUAGAUACCCGGGUAGUCCCUGUCUCUUAUAC